UCCCUGGUGGCUCAGAGGGUAAAGUGCCUGUCUACAAUGCAGAAGACCCAGGUUUGAUCCCUGGGUCGGGAA
rnacentral:tRNA from 1 species